rnacentral:rRNA from 1 species
AUUGAACGCUGGCGGCAGGCCUAACACAUGCAAGUCGAGCGGAUGAAGGGAGCUUGCUCCUGGAUUCAGCGGCGGACGGGUGAGUAAUGCCUAGGAAUCUGCCUGGUAGUGGGGGAUAACGUCCGGAAACGGGCGCUAAUACCGCAUACGUCCUGAGGGAGAAAGUGGGGGAUCUUCGGACCUCACGCUAUCAGAUGAGCCUAGGUCGGAUUAGCUAGUUGGUGGGGUAAAGGCCUACCAAGGCGACGAUCCGUAACUGGUCUGAGAGGAUGAUCAGUCACACUGGAGCUGAGACACGGUCCAGAGUCCUACGGGAGGCAGCAGUGGGGAAUAUUGGACAGUGGGCGAAAGCCUGAUCCAGCCAUGCCGCGUGUGUGGAGAAGGUCUUCGGAUUGUAAAGCACUUUAAGUUGGGAGGAAGGGCAGUAAGUUAAUACCUUGCUGUUUUGACGUUAACAACAGAAUAAGCACCGGCUAACUUCGUG